GUGAAAACUGACGGGAGAAGAGAAGAAAAGGGGAGGAAGAAGAAGAGAAAAGAGGGAAAGAUAAGGAAAGGAGAAGAGAAUUGGAGGAAAUAAGUUUAAAGGUUCUCCUAACGAUCCUCAAUAGGAUUUUCGGGUCUUUCGUCUGACAUUCCUUUUAGUUCUAUAUUUUCCGGGUUCUUAGUUUCUGAUAGCAGGUGAACCUUGUUGAGUGUUCCUGCUUCUUCAGUUUUGGGUCAGUAUGCCUUGCUUAUCUUUCAAGGCUGUUUGAUUCGAUGUCUUAGACGCUCCACUAUUACCUUGUUUUAAGUUA